UACGGGGGGGGGCAAGCGUUGUUCGGAAUUACUGGGCGUAAAGGGCUCGUAGGUGGCCAACUAAGUCAGACGUGAAAUCCCUCGGCUUAACCGGGGAACUGCGUCUGAUACUGGAUGGCUUGAGUUCGGGAGAGGGAUGCGGAAUUCCAGGUGUAGCGGUGAAAUGCGUAGAUAUCUGGAGGAACACCGGUGGCGAAGGCGGCAUCCUGGACCGGACACUGACGCUGAGGAGCGAAAGCCAGGGGAGCAAACGGG
rnacentral:rRNA from 1 species